ACGAACGCUGGCGGCGUGCUUAACACAUGCAAGUCGCACGCUGAAGCUCAGCUUUUGUUGGGUGGAUGAGUGGCGAACGGGUGAGUAACACGUGAGUAACCUGCCUCCUUCUUUGGGAUAACGCCCGGAAGCGGGUGCUAAUACUGGAUAUUCACUGGUCUUCGCAUGGGGGUUGGUGGAAAGGGUUUUUCUGGUGGGGGAUGGGCUCGCGGCCUAUCAGCUUGUUGGUGGGGUGAUGGCCUACCAAGGCUUUGACGGGUAGCCGGCCUGAGAGGGUGACCGGUCACAUUGGGACUGAGAUACGGCCCAGACUCCUACGGGAGGCAGCAGUGGGGAAUAUUGCACAAUGGGCGCAAGCCUGAUGCAGCGACGCCGCGUGAGGGAUGGAGGCCUUCGGGUUGUGAACCUCUUUCGCUCAUGGUCAAGCCGCAACAAUGGUUGUGGUGAGGGUAGUGGGUAAAGAAGCGCCGGCUAACUACGUG
rnacentral:rRNA from 1 species